CCUUCAUUACUCAGAAGCUUUAUAGGUUUUUAUUAUGUUUUAUUUACAUCUUGUGGUUAACUGUACUUCUCUUAUCUUUAGAAGUUCACUGAUAAGCUGAUUGAGGAGGAUGAAUUUGAUGUAGAUCAAAAGGAUGCAUUUAAGAAUUUUGUCAAAGACAAUGUCCGAGAGGCAAAAAAAGCCAAUAGACAGGCUAGAGAAGCUCGAAAAAAGGCCUUGCAGAAAUGAGUUAGUAGACUAAAGCAACAUUUGAAAACAUGAAGUUUAACAAGUUCUACUCAGUCCAGAUCGAUGAUACUCCUGACAUAUCAAA